GUAGUUAAUUGGGGGGACAGCGAUGGGCUACAUUUUCUAGCAAAGAAGCCCCCAGCAAUAUGAAAUAAUGCCAUAAGACGGAUUUAGCAGUAAAUAGAGCAAGAGCCGCUCAAUUGAAGCUCGCCCUGAGACGCGUACACACCGCCCGUCACCCUCCUCAGAAACCAAAAAUCAAAAUAACUAAGCCCCUCCCCCAAAUCUACCAGAUGAGGCAAGUCGUAACAUGGUAAGUGUACUGGAAAGUGCACUUGGCAAAAC
rnacentral:rRNA from 1 species